rnacentral:rRNA from 1 species
AUUGAACGCUGGCGGCAGGCCUAACACAUGCAAGUCGAACGAGUGGCGGACGGGUGUGUAAUGUAUGGGACACUGCCUGAUGGCGGGGGAUAACUACUGGAAACGGUAGCUCAUACCGCAUACCAUCGGAUGUGCCUAGAUGGGAUUAGCUUGUGGGUGGGGUAAAGGGUAACCUAGGCGACGAUCCCUAGCUGGUCUGAGCGGAGGACCAGCCACACUGGAACUGAGACACGGUCCAGACUCCUACGGGAGGCAGCAGUGGGGAAUAUUGCACAAUGGGCGCAAGCCUGAUGCAGCCAUGCCGCGUGUAUGAAGAAGGCCUUCGGGUUGUAAAGUACUUUCAGCGGGGAGGCGUUACCCGCAGAAGAAGCACCGGCUAACUCCGUGCCAGCAGCCGCGGUAAUUC